rnacentral:rRNA from 1 species
AAAGAGUUUGAUCCUGGCUCAGGAUUAAUGCUGGCGAGAUGCAUAACACAUGCAAGUCGAGCGUGAUAAAAUAAGAGCUUGCUCAAGUUUUUGAAAGCGGCGGACGGCUGAGUAAUAUGUUGGAACUUGCCUCGAACUCAGGGAUAGCCUGUGGAAACGCAGAUUAAUACCGGAUGGUCCCGUAAGGGUAAAGCGCUUAGCGGUUCGAGAGAGGCCUGCAUCCCAUUAGCUAGUUGGUAGUGUAAUGGACUACCAAGGCUAUGAUGGGUACCUGGUGUGAGAGCAUGACCAGGCAGAGUGGGACUGAGACACGGCCCACACUCCUACGGGAGGCAGCAGUGAGGAAUUUUUCGCAAUGGGGGGAACCCUGACGAAGCAAUCUCGCGUGCAGGAUGACACCUUUCGGGGCGUAAACUGCUUUUAUGAGGGAAGAAGAUCUGACGGUACCUCAUGAAUAAGGGACGGCUAACUACGUGCCAGCAGCCGCGGUAAUACGUAGGUCCCAAGCAUUAUCCGAAAUUACUGGGCGUAAAGCGAUCAAAGGCGGCGUAAUAAGUCUGAUGUUAAAGCCCUCGGCUCAACCGAGGAAUCGUAUCGGAAACUGUUAUGCUAGAGAUAUGUAGAGGUAGCUGGAAUUUCUAUUGUAGGGGUUAAAUCCGUAGAUAAUAGAAGGAACACCAAAAGCGAAGGCAGGCUACUGGGCAUUUUCUGACGCUGCUUGAUCGAAAGCGUGGGGAGCGAAACGGAUUAGAUACCCGUGUAGUCCACGCCCUAAACGAUGAAUACUCGGUGUUCGGAGGUUUCAAAUCCCUCUGAGUGCCUAAGCUAACGCAUUAAGUAUUCCGCCUGGGGACUACGGUCGCAAGAUUAAAACUCAAAGGAAUAGACGGGGAUCUACACAAGCGGUGGAGCAUCUGGUUUAAUUCGACAAUAAGCGGGGAACCUUACCGGGGCUUGACAUCCUGAGAAUCUUCUGGAAACAGAGGAGUGCCGCAAGGAGCUCAGUGACAGGUGCUGCAUGGUUGUCGUCAGCUCGUGCUUUGAAGUGUUCGGUUAAGUCCGUUAACGAGCGCAACCCUCGUCGUAUGUUGUUCAUUUCAUACGAGACUGCCAGGUUUAACCUGGAGGAAGGUGAGGACGACGUCAAAUCAGCAUGGCCCUUAUGUCCCGGGCGACACAGGUGCUACAAUGGAAAGUACAAUGCGCAGCCAACCCGCAAGGGGGAGCGAAUCGCACCAAAACUUUUCUCAGUUCGGAUUGUGGUCUGCAACUCGACCAUAUGAAGUUGGAAUCGCUAGUAAUCGUGCAUCAGCCUUGGCACGGUGAAUAUGUUCCUAGAUCUUGUACUCACCGCCCGUCAAACCACGAAAGGUGGGGGUACCCGAAGUCGCGUUAUCCAUUCAGGAGCGUGCCUAAGGUAAAACUACUAAUUGGGGUUAAGUCGUAACAAGGUAUCCGUACGGGAAUGUGCGGAUGGACUACCUCCUU